CCUCAGGAAUAGGAAUCAGAAUCAAACAAUUCCACUCAUGGUUAGCUUCAACCAAUGGCAAAAUAAGGCUUUCCGUUAAACCUGUACAGCGUCGUCACAGCUGCUCAUUUUUCUCUAGCUCGCACACACCCAAAUCAACUAGGGCUUGCCUUUCUCAUUUCUCACUUUUACUGCACCGAUCGUUUCACUCUCAAACUAGCUUCAAUGGACUACAGCUCUGAAGAAGAUUCUGAUAUCAGCGAAUCUUAGAUUGAAGAGUACGCAGAGAAACGAUAUGAACAGUUAAGGGCUGGGAAAUACAAGGUUAAAAAUUUGAAUGGAACUCUUAGAUGUCCUUACUGUGCUGGGAAAAAAAACAAGAAUUCAAAUAUAAGGAUUUAUUGCAACAUGCAUCAGGAGUUGGUAAGAGUUCUGCUAACAGAAGUGCACAACAAAAGGCAAACCACCUUGCUCUAGGAAAGUAUUUGGAGACCGACCUAGCCUGUGAAGCAGAGCCAAUCCAGCGCCCAGCUCUACCUCAAGCUGUCAAUCAACCUUUACAUCAACAAGAUCUUUAUGUUUGAUUCCUGGAUGAACAAGAAAAGCUGAGUAGUGAAUUGGAGGAAAAAAAGCGGAAGCUUGAUUCCUGGAGUAGAGAUCUAAACAAACGUGAGGCCCUAACUGAUCAAGAGAAGAAGAAACUUGAAGAGGACAACAAGAAGAAAGAUCUGAGGAAUGAGUCACUCCUAUUGGCUUCAAAGGAAAAAAAGAUAGCCCAUGAGAGUGUCUUAAGGCUUGUUGAAGAGCAAAAGCGAGAGAAAGAGGAGGCCUAUAACAAGAUACUUCAGUUGGAAAAACAGCUAGAUGCCAAACAAAAGUUGGAAAUGGAAAUUGAAGAGUUAAAAGGGAAAUUGCAAGUUAUGAAGCAUCUUGGAGAUGAAGAUGAUGCAGCUGUUCAGAAUAAAACAGAAGAGAUGAAUGAUGAAUUGCAAGAAAAAGUAGAUAAUUUGGAAAAUAUGGAGGCCAUGAAUCAAAUCCUUGUUGUGAAGGAGCGUCAGAGUAAUGAUGAACUGCAGGAAGCUCGUAAAGAAUUAAUAAUAGUAUGACCUUGUUUACUUUCUCCCUAAUAAAAGUAUACCCCGUGGUUCCCUUUUCUCUAUCCAUAUAUAGAGAUUUGCUAAUUUACCCCGACCUUAUUUAGUAGUAUUUUAAUUUAGCAAACUAUACCUUGACCUUGGAUGCAUUUAAGAAAAUCCUAGUUAUAUCAUUCACUUA